AACUGCAAACGGAUAAGGU
rnacentral:miRNA from 1 species